rnacentral:lncRNA from 1 species
GGAAAGAUUUUGAUUCCAACUGGAAAGACAUGCAAGUCAAAUGGGAUUUGAGAGAAAAGGAGAUUCAUGUGCGUCCACUUUGAGAAGAAGCAGGGUGGGAGGUCAUGAGAAAAAUAGUUUUCAAAUCAAGCCGGGAAUGAUUUCCACAAGGAAGUCCCUGAAAAACACACAUUCAGUGUCAUCCAAGAGCCCUUGCAGGUUUGAUGGCACCAGCAGGUUCCUCUUCAGAGACCUUUCAGCAAGUGACCCUGCAGCAACAGAAAGCUUCUUCCCACUGACGAGCAUCUUCUGCAUCUUCUCUACAGGUUACAGCACAAAUGCCCAGGACUGUUUAUAUGGGAAUAUUUUCAGGCAGCAGCCCUUCAAACAUAGUGCCAAGCCUUCAAUAGCUGAAAACAGCAUCAUUUCUCUGCUUCCAUCUCUCAUGAUCCCUUUUUCUGCAGCCCUGGCAGAUGUUUGAUUCCACCAUAAUCCAAGUCCUUCUUUUCUCCCAUCAUUUUGUUGUCAUUUCCCAUCUGUUCACCUGUAACAUUAUUUCAUACUUAUGUGGGAUUUUAAACAUUUUUAACCAUAUUUAAUAAGAAUUUCUUAGUGGUUUCUUCAUAAAAUGAGAUGGUGAGCCAGUCUGUUGCUCAUUCCUUUGCCUGGCUUGCCUAGCAUCUUGUGCUUUGAUUUCUGAGCUCUUGGCAGAGAUAUCUUUUUUUUUUUUUUUUUUUUUUUUUUUUUUCUCUGAGUUAAUAUGGCACUGGGUGCUAAGGGAGAUCUUGCCCAGGGGCAGAAUGGUUAGACAUAUUCGCUGGAAUUACAAUGAACAGUAAUAAUAAUAAUAAUAGCAACAUUUCUUCAAGGAUACCACACAUGGGGAGUGAGAAUGUGGCCAAAGAAUGUCUGUUAUUGAAUUUCUGAUGAAAUAUUGAGAUGCUUCAGUGAAAAAAAAUACUGUUUAAAGGUGAUAGCUUUUGCUUAAUUUGUCUUCAUCGGACAUACCGAAAAUUCACAUUCAGUCUAAAUUAAUGAUUCAUGAUUAUUUUGCCAUUCCUGAUGGAUUUUUGUACAAUAAGUCUUCAGUUAAACUGAAUUCUUUAAGUCAUCUUAAUGAUAAUAUUACUAUUACAUGUUAGCAAAUUGUUGAACAUACAGAGAUAUCCACAAUUUUACAACUGUUUGAAAAAGUGCAGUGAUUGUCAUCUUUGGAGUAUAUUUUUUGCUCCUCGUCGUGCUGGUUACUUAGGUAUCUUGUUUUCCAUUGCAUACAUUUAAAAUAUAUAAAGCAGAAUGAAAUUCACAAAAGAGAGAUAUCAAACCACUUGUAUGACAUUACAACUCUACAUGACUACUGCUAUAAUAAUACCCAAUACCCUAGGCUAUGAGUAGUAAUAAUUAUACUAAGCCUAGCGUAGAUUCUCACUAAAGUAAUGAUCUCUGUUCUGAUGCCUACUGAUAUUAAAUACCAAUAAAAGUUGGGCCCUUGUUGGGAGAUACUAAUCA